GACGAACGCUGGCGGCGUGCUUAACACAUGCAAGUCGAACGGAAAGGCCCUGCUUUUGUGGGGUGCUCGAGUGGCGAACGGGUGAGUAACACGUGAGUAACCUGCCCUUGACUUUGGGAUAACUUCAGGAAACUGGGGCUAAUACCGGAUAGGAGCUCCUGCUGCAUGGUGGGGGUUGGAAAGUUUCGGCGGUUGGGGAUGGACUCGCGGCUUAUCAGCUUGUUGGUGGGGUAGUGGCUUACCAAGGCUUUGACGGGUUGCCGGCCUGAGAGGGUGACCGGCCACAUUGGGACUGAGAUACGGCCCAGACUCCUACGGGAGGCAGCAGUGGGGAAUAUUGCACAAUGGGCGGAAGCCUGAUGCAGCAACGCCGCGUGCGGGAUGACGGCCUUCGGGUUGUAAACCGCUUUCGCCUGUGACGAAGCGUGAGUGACGGUAAUGGGUAAAGAAGCACCGGCUAACUACGUG
rnacentral:rRNA from 1 species